CGCUGGCGGCAGGCCUAACACAUGCAAGUCGAGCGGAUGAAGGGAGCUUGCUCCUGGAUUCAGCGGCGGACGGGUGAGUAAUGCCUAGGAAUCUGCCUGGUAGUGGGGGACAACGUUUCGAAAGGAACGCUAAUACCGCAUACGUCCUACGGGAGAAAGCAGGGGACCUUCGGGCCUUGCGCUAUCAGAUGAGCCUAGGUCGGAUUAGCUAGUUGGUGAGGUAAUGGCUCACCAAGGCGACGAUCCGUAACUGGUCUGAGAGGAUGAUCAGUCACACUGGAACUGAGACACGGUCCAGACUCCUACGGGAGGCAGCAGUGGGGAAUAUUGGACAAUGGGCGAAAGCCUGAUCCAGCCAUGCCGCGUGUGUGAAGAAGGUCUUCGGAUUGUAAAGCACUUUAAGUUGGGAGGAAGGGUUGUAGAUUAAUACUCUGCAAUUUUGACGUUACCGACAGAAUAAGCACCGGCU
rnacentral:rRNA from 1 species